AUUAACAUUUAGUUAUUUGACGGUUUUUAUCAAUAGUUGUUCGAAGAUGUUAUGGCUGCAAUAUUGCGAGUUUCUAGAUAAAUAUAGACAAGAACCAUAUAACAUUAUUGUAAAGCACGUUGAUAGACGGUAGUGCAAAAGGAUCCUGUUACACAUUCCUAUGUUUAUAGUCCUGAUUUUAGUAAUACAUAUUACCACCCAAUUUCUACCAUAUCAGGCGUAAAAAUCCGCUAUUCAGUGGCUCAGUGCGCGUUGUCGUCAACUGCUCUGCGCAUCGAUCAGUACUUUCCAGAAACAAGUGCUAUUUACACACACUUUAUUCAACCCACGACUCAAUAAAAUACACGGUUUGGAGAUCAGUUUGUACGACCCGCGACUUUUUACCGGCGACAUUUUACCCGCGACAUUCUACCCGCGACACGCGACCAUUAGUCAAACUCAUUAAAUCAUGACAAAAUGCUCUUGGGCAAUAUUUCGUAUUGAAGCAAUCCUAUAUAGUUGUUUACUAAAUGAUAACGUGAUUUUUACACACUUUAUUCAACCCGCGACUCAAUAAAAUACACGGUUUGGAGCUUUUUAAGACCCGCGACUUUUUACCCGCGACAUUUUACCACUGAGCUGUAUAAUAACUGGAGGACCUGCUCCUAUACUUCGUUCAGUCAACGAAGUGAAGCCAAAAACAUGGCGGAUUUUGAGUGAAAAUGACGCCAUUUCCAUGACAACACUUCCGAAAUCCUCAUGGCAGGUACCACUGACCAGGCUCAAUUCUGAGCCCACUGCCGCUUUCACACCCCCCUGGUUUUUGCAAAAAAGUUUUGCAGAUAAUAUAGUUCUUGUUGUUUUGAAUCGGUAUAUUAUAUUUUUUCGAUAUAAACUUUUUACCUUUGAUCAUUUGGACAAAGAUAUGCAAGUUGUACGUGUUAUUCUCGCCCAUCAAAGACGACAAGCAAAUUUUAAAACCUCAAGAAAUGUGGGAAAAGACGAGACUUGAAUAGGGAUUUUAUACAAAGGUAAGAGACGUAUUUUCAUAUUCAAUUUUAUUUACACUUUAUCUUUAUUGACAUGAAAUUAAUAAGUAUAACGAUGAAAAUGACACUCUAUUUGUUAAGGAAACAGCUUCCUACAGUGCAAUACACAUGGGAAAGUGUAAAAUUUCCCACUACUUUAGCAAGCUGUGAUUCACAAUCGCAAAUAUUUGGUUACAAAUAUCUACGAAGCUUAUUAAAAUGAUAUUCGGUCACAUAUACUAGUAUUAAUACGACGGUCUUUAAAGUGCGAACUGUCUGGUGUAAUACUGUUAAAAGGCAGUUGACUCUGAGGUCUCGUUUUAUAAAUAGACAUAAACUAUGAUCAUGUUAUUCAUGUACCACAGACUAUCUUUUGAAAGAGGGAUUUAGGUUCUGUGUUAUGUACCAACUUAUGUACAGUAUAAGCUGGAGGUGCUAGCUUUCUGGUUGGGGAUACUUCUUGAUUUUUGUGUCAUUAUAGAGGCUUGGGGGAUAAAUCACACUUUUCCCUAAGCUGAGGUUUAGCUGAGGUGUGUGCCAAGGCAUGCAUGUGUGAUCACACCUCAUUUCCAGGAUGCACUGUUUUCUUACAGGUUUUCUCAGUAAAGAUCACUCUGAAUAAACAAUGUACCUUGAGUUUAUAAGUGCACUCAUAGUUCUGAUUUAAGCUGAGGAGUUAGGCCACAUUCUCUUUAUAUUUACCUUGGUCGUAUGCUAAGUUAUGUUACCUGGAUAAUUUAUCUAUUCUUGUUUAUUGCAGAUUUAUUCCAUAAUGACACUCUCCUUUCUGGGUGGAAAAACACAGUACCAAGCCACAUCUUUGGAAACUGAACUGAACCAGAGACGGAUUUUCAUAUUUUCGUUUCGGG
rnacentral:lncRNA from 1 species